rnacentral:rRNA from 1 species
CAGUCGCCGCGGUAAUACGUAGGGUGCAAGAGUUAAUCGGAAUUACUGGGCGUAAAGCGUGCGCAGGCGGUUAUAUAAGACAGAUGUGAAAUCCCCGGGCUCAACCUGGGAACUGCAUUUGUGACUGUAUAGCUAGAGUACGGCAGAGGGGGAUGGAAUUCCGCGUGUAGCAGUGAAAUGCGUAGAUAUGCGGAGGAACACCGAUGGCGAAGGCAAUCCCCUGGGCCUGUACUGACGCUCAUGCACGAAAGCGUGGGGAGCAAACAGGAUUAGAUACCCCGGUAGUCCCUGUCUCUUAUAC